rnacentral:rRNA from 1 species
UACGUAGGGGGCUAGCGUUGUCCGGAAUCAUUGGGCGUAAAGAGCGUGUAGGCGGCCCGGUAAGUCCGCUGUGAAAGUCGGGGGCUCAACCCUCGAAUGCCGGUGGAUACUGUCGGGCUCGAGUGCGGAAGAGGCGAGUGGAAUUCCUGGUGUAGCGGUGAAAUGCGCAGAUAUCAGGAGGAACACCAAUUGCGAAGGCAGCUCGCUGGGACGUUACUGACGCUGAGGAGCGAAAGCGUGGGGAGCGAACAGG